rnacentral:lncRNA from 1 species
AUUCUCCAUCACUUAUCCCAAUUUUUCCCCAAUUUUUUCUUAAUUUUUCCCCAAUUUUUUUCCUAAUUUUUCCUAAUUUUCCCCAAUUUUUUUCUUAAUUUUUCCCCAAUUUUUCCUCAAUUUUCUCCUAAUAUCCCCCCAAUUUUUUUUCCAAUUUUUCCUCAAUUUUCCCCCAAUUUUCCCCAAUUUUUUUCUUAAUUUUUCCCCAAUUUUUCCUCAAUUUUCUCCUAUUAUCCCCCCAAUUUUUUUCCAAUUUUCCCCCAAUUUUUUCCUAAUUUUCCCCAAUUUUUUCCUAAUUUUCCCCAAUUUUUUUCUAAAUUUUUCCUCAAUUUCCCCCAAUUUUUUCUUAAUUUUUCCCCAAUUUUUCCUCAAUUUUCUCCUAUUAUCCCCCCAAUUUUUUUCCAAUUUUUCCCCAAUUUUCCCCCAUUUUUUUCCUAAUUUUCCCCAAUUUUCUCCUAAUUUUCCCCCAAUUUAUCCCCAAUUUUUUCCCAAUUUUCCCCAAUUUUUCCUUAAUUUUUCCCCAAUUUUUCCUCAAUUUUCUCCUAAUAGUCCCCCAAAUUUUCUCCUAAUUUCCCCCCAAUUUUUCCCCAAUUUUCCCCAAUUUUCUCCUAAUUUUCCCCCAUUUUUUUCCUCUAUUUUUCCCCAAUUUUUUCCUAAUUUUUCCCUAAUUUUCACCCAAUUUUCCCACAUGUGGGCCCACCAGGGAGGGAGCAGCUCUGAUGGAUUCUCCUCAGUCCCACUGAGGUUCCUCCCCAUCAGCGAAUCCCAAAUAACCUGGAAUUACCCACCCCACUGGAUUUGCUCCUUUUGCCUUGGUUUCUGCCACCAAAAAUUCAACACCAAAGGUAAAAAAAAUCCCAAUUUGUUUUGGGAUUUCUCCCUUCAUGCUGCACUCACCCCUGGCAGAUCCCACUCCAGCACAUCCCAGCUCCUGCAAAAGAACAAAAACCACCUCCAAUUAGCACAGCUUUCCAAUAAAUAUCCAAACAUUACAAAAUUUUG